CUUGAGUGCUUAUUUGAUUAUUUGUUUUGAACAGAAUUUAAAACUGGAAAGCAAGUGGGACUAUUUUCAAAAUCAAUUCAACUGCUUUUGCCUCUUUGUUUUGCUUUUUAAGAGUAAAAACAUUCCUCUCGCUUUUAGUCAUCUGUUCCGUCUGGCAGUCUGACGCCUGUUAGAUGGUAACUAAGAUAAUGGAAGUUAUAACAGGAAAAAAAAAAUAACAGACUAACAGAGUUGGAAGGGACCUUGGUGGUCUUCUAGUGCAACCCUCUGUUUGUUCAGGAGAUCCUAUAGAUGGACCAAAUUUUUCGGAAACUAAGUUUCUUCUGAUGGCAAUUCUCAUUUAAAAAGUCUCAAUAUUUUUAUUGGUUCCAUCAGUUCAAAAACCUUCCUCGUGCUUAAAGUUGAAAUACUUUCCGGUUGCGCAGAAUAUUUUCCUAUAUACUGGGACUUGGAAUACCAGAAAUUGAAAUCUAAAGCAUCUAAAGAACAUCAUUUGGGAAGAGCUUGCCUAAAAAUUUCUUUAUAUGGAUUUUGCACCAAUUUGAAAGCAGUUACAGAUACCUGUGAUUGCAUAAUGUCAGCAGUGAUGUACAACUGAACUGUCUUAUUUCUGGCUCAGAUUCAGUGUAUUUGAAACUAUGUCCAGCUUAGUAUAGGACUGGUGUUGUGUACAUUUGGGGGAACCUGGUUUUUGAAGUGUGGAAAUUAUUAACUGAAAGAGAUGUGGAAGACAAUGAUUGAAGGAGUUGAUAAGUGAAAUGAUGGAGUAUGAAGUUCAAUGCAGUAGAAUGGUCUUUGAGGAGGGAAAAUAGAAAAGAUAAAGGAUAUUUAACUGCCUACAAAUUAACAAGAAUUAGUGAAAUAACAAGAUACUGUUUGCUGAUAAUGGCUCUUGUGCCAGAUUGUUUUUCAGGUGGAAUGACAAUAUAUUAGGUUGAAAGCAAACUAGGUUGUUGUGGGGACAGAUUUUCCAUUGCUGUGGAACUAGUAUGGCACUAGCUGCCAUUAUACAUAGGGUCGUAAAGAUGGUUACUUUACAAUAAUUGUAGAUACUAUGGCUUUGACAGAAGAAGCAGUAGUGGUUGCAUGAACAAAAUGUCUGAAGUACUUUUUAAGUCUAGAAUAGGAAGAUAACAUUUGAAAAUAACUCAGGCAGUCAUUGCCAUGAAUCACUGCACUUUAAGAAGGGGAGGUGUGAAGCACAAUCGGACUUGCAAGAUUCUGUUAAUGUAGCAACUCCCAAUAAAAGUAGAUUUAGCCUUCUUGUGGAAUUGAUUUCCUGGUCUAGUGUAUCUAAUGCAGCUGAUGAUAAUAGUCCAAAGGAUAUUUGGAUAUUCUAGAACAGGAAUGUCAUGACUUUUUCCCCAUUGCCGGAGCUGGUGUGGUUUGGCAUGAUGCAUCCAGCCCAUGGGCUGGCAGUUUGCUACCCCUGUUCUAGAAGAAGUUCUAUAUAAGAAAACAGAAAAGAGAAGAAACAAGAAUAUACAGAGCUGAACUGGAGGAGAGCAGCAGGUGGGAGAUACCAAAGACAAGUGUGCAACAAUUGUGAUGGGAGGAUGGAGUCUGAAAAAGGAUAUAAGGGGAAUUAGUGAUUUCCCCCUCCCCCCCAAUGGCAUGUGAGAUGGAUGAGAGAAAAAAGACCUACCCAGAGGUGAGAGUUUAAGAGAUGGGCUGUUUAUCCAAAGGUGAGCAUGUGGUUCAUUAAUAUGGAAAGCUGGGCACUGGAUUGAUGGCUCUGUCUUGAGGGUCUUGUUGAUGAAAUGUGUUGGAGUGGGUGAGGAGGAACAGCGCUCCAGAUUAUUUGAAGAUCUUUUGUGAUAAAAGGAACAUUUUUAAUAAAUAUCAAAUUUAUUUAAGCCUUGCAGAAUGUCCUUGUGUUCCCCUAAACUGAGCGCGAUAACAAGGUUAUAAACAAGAAACAUAUGGGAGCGUAUCAAAUAAUUAUAAAAAUAAAAACUAGAUGUUUUGACUAACAAAUAGAGGUAAAUUUCUGCCAACCUUAUUGGGAAUACAAUGCAUAUAUUAUCCUGCAUAUUUACUAUUGUGUUCUUGGAGAAUAGCAGCUGAAGUUCAAGUAAAUCAAGAAAGCAACAUACAAAAUUUAUUAUCUUGAGACUUCAUCUUGUGUGAAUUAUUAUCAGCUUGGGUUAGUUUGGACCAUCUGUUGAUGUAAUAUAUAGAUGAGUUUCUUGAAUAUAUUUAGCUGUUUUGCAAUAUUUAUAUAUCUUUUAAAUUGUAGGACAUAAGAACGCUUAUUCUUAACAUGUUGGAACUAAUAUAGAAAUAUAUAUAAUAAACUUAGUGGUUUAUACGGUAUGACAUUUUUAUUCUAUUUUUAAUUGGUUAAGUUAACAAAUUUUGCUGACAUUCAGUGAAAUUACCUCAAACCUGUCCAAUUUUAUCAUAUUACAUGAUGACUUGUCCACUUUGCAUGAUUCACUUCCUUCUUUAGUGGAAGUAAUCUCCAUGGGUUAUUAAAAUACAGUUUAGUCAUACUCUUUAUUAUAAAUACAAUUUAUAAAUAAUACAUUCUUUGUAUGUAUUUGUACAUUUAUUUAUCAUUAUAAUGCUGUUCUUUCAAAGAAGUUAAUGAAACAUUCUCCUCUUCCUUUCCUUGCAUUUUUUUUCUGUUUUGUGAAAGAAUUCCAAAUGUUGUUUAUAAGCCUUCUGUAAGGUAAAAUUUCACAGGAUAUAUAAAUGACUCUUUCUAUAGCCUUGGACUUGAUUGUCUUUGUCCUUUCCUUUGCCUCUGUCAACUUCAAAUCAUAUUGGCCUACCUCAAAUGGUCUUGUGAAAAAUGAAUAAUAGGAAUAAGAAGUGCUUCAUUUAUCAAGAAUGUCAUAGAAAUAAUAAAUAAUAGUUUUUAUUAGUAUUAGUAAGUUUAUUUGAUAACACAUGCUAAAGAUAUUAAGAACUUGCUUGUAAAUUUUAUUUAUCUUAUUUGCCUCCCCUCCCUCAAAGUCAUAUAAGAUGCAUCUGAAGAGAUCAAAACCAUGGAAGCAAUAUGAGAGUUUUUCUUAAAAAUAAUACAGAAAUGGAAAAUUCAGCAGAUGGGAUAUUGGCUCUUAAAAGUACAGGGCAUGUGGUAAAAAUAUGGUAGUUGUCAUCCUGGCAUUUCUUGCUUGUUCCUUCUAUGAACAGAUCACAUUAGAAAGCUCUGUGCUUCCUGAAUAGAAUAAUAUAUAGAUCAACAGUUUAAUCAUGUAUGUACUGCAUGUGUAAAUAGAACAGGUAGAAUAGAGCCUUGAAAACCUUGUUUCUAUCCUAUAAUUUCCUCUAAUUUUAUUACUGUUACAGCUCUUCCAUCAGCAAGAGAGAUGGAAAUGAAAAUACACAGUUUUAAAUUGUCAAUAUUUUUCGCAAAUAACUAUUAACAGUACACUAUGAUUUUGGUACCUUAGCAAGGCAAAAUAUAUCAUCUCUUGAGUGUCAGCUAACCUGCAAUGUUAUAACUUCCAGAUUUUUGGUGUGUGUGUGUUUGUGUGUGUGUUCCCUUGUAGUACAAUAUACAUACAACUGUAACACAUCUAUGCAAUUCAGCAUUUCUUUCUUAUUUUUAAAGAAACCAAUGAAAGAGCUAUUUUCAAAGACUCGUUGGCCGUUGCCUUUCUGAAAUUUGAUGGCUAAAAGAGAAUUUCUUCUAAGAGACCGGUCGACUUAUCUUAUUGGUCUGCUUGGCUGAAAACAUGCAUUAUGUAAGGCUGUAAUACUUAAUUUAAUCUUUAAAAACUUAGUCUUACCUUUUAGUAUGUAUGUGUGUAGAAAUUAAUUUACCUUGAUCCUAUACUGUAUUUGGGGAAUGGUAAAUGAUAGGGUAAUUCACCGUACUUUGGAUCCAGAUUUCUAGUUGCACAGCUCAUUUUAUUGUAGAUGUUUCUGUUCCCUGAAAAUUUAUAAUUGUCUCAAUGGUUACUGUAGAGCAGACAUGUCAAACUCGUGACGUUACAUGACGUUGCAUGAUGUAUCGGAGUGCGGUUUCCUGGUGAUGCAUCCGGCCUAUGGGCUGGCAGUUUGAUACCCCUGUUGUAGAGGAUCCUCCAACUUGAUUUGAAAUGGGAUACAUGGUUUACUCUUCUAAGAGGAAGCAAUCAUGCUUACAUGGGAAGUAAUAUUCCUCCCCCACAGAAAUAUAAUGUCUUUUAGUUCAUUUAGAGAGGUUAUUUCUUUCCUCUCCCCAACUAAUUUUCAAAUCCAAUUUCCCAUCUAGCUAUGAUAUGACGGUGUAACCCAGCAGUGGCUUUGUUCAGGGCAUAUUACCUUAGUAAAAUAAUGAAAGGGAAAUUAAUUAAGUAAAUACCUUCAUUUGAUAAAUACUGUGAGGCAGAACUGAAAUGGUAGAGGAGAACAAUGAAAGCUGAAUGCUGUGGCUUCAGAAAUCUAUUUGUAUGGUAAACGAUGUGGAGAUCUUGUGGUCAAAAUCUAUUUCUGUAAUUUUUAAAGCAGAUUUACUACUUCAUGACAGCAAUUAUAAUUGACUAAACUUUGGGGGAGGGCUGUGAGUUCUGUGACCCCCAAAGUCAGAUUUAAUAUGGUUGAAUAUUUUAUGCUCUUUAAAUCAAAUGUGUCAGCUUAUGAGGCACCUGUGGAAAAGCAAUGCAGAAAUUGCUUGGCAACAGAAAUCUCUGGGGAUAAGAUGAAUUAGUGCUGCUAAGAUCUGCUUCUUGCCUUGUGCAGUGUAUUAUCCAAAACUAAACAACUAAACAUACAUUUCCCUGCUUGCUUAUUUUAUUAUUUUCAUUUUCUGCUUUUCCUCCAGGAGCUCAAGGUGGAAAUGUACACCAUUUCUUCCUUCUAUUUCUUCCCACAACAACAAUCCUGUGAGAUGAGUAAAUUUCAGUUUUGAACUUGUGCCUCAAUAUGAAGCAAAUGUAAGUUACCUCAACUGCCUUUUGUUCAGAUGGUCACAAACAAGGGUAGUUUAUUUCUCUCAAUGCAACUGAAGGUGAAAUAAAGAGCAGAACAAUAUAUUGAAACAUCCUCAGUGAAGGGACAAGUUCAUUCCCCUGAGGUUGUAAAGUUCUGACUCAGUCUUGCUGAAGGAAAUGAGUCAUUUAAGUUUGAGUGCUUCAAAAUGCAUUUACUCUCUUAGUUUAAAAGCCUAAGUAACAAGAUUCCAUUUUGAUUGCAUUUUCUAAAUAAUGAAAUUUAGCUUUAAGAAAAGUUGAAACUUACUGCAAAUUGAUGCUCUGCAGCUGUUUCAGACACUAUGCCUUUUUUUUUUUUUUGGUCAAGGGGGACUCCACUACAGUUGGGCUAUUUCUGAUGACAAUUAUUGCCUUUGGAGGGAAAUGAUUCUUCUCUCUUCUUUUGGUUUAAUGUAAAUUAGAGUAGUAAUAUUAUACCUAUGAGAGUCAAAAUGAGAGCUAAAGACAUGAAUUUAAGCUUUUCCUCAUAACAAUCAUUCUUAUAUAACCAGUGAAAUGUAUACAUGAUCCACUGAUUUCAUAAGACUAAGCAAUUAUUUAAACUCCCUGACACUGAUACGAUUGGCAAAUGAAUGCUAAUUAGUGACCAUAUAUUCAAAGUUAAUAAAUGGAACAAAUUGAACUUUUGAUGGCUACUUUUGAUAAUGAGGUUCUGGAGAAUUAACAUUUUUCUCUAAAUUUUAGUGUCAUGCUAAUGAUAUAACCUGCAUAAAUAAUGUGUAUAAAUUCAGUUAAAUUGCAUAUAUGUUAGUGAUUUAUUUUAUAUAAUUUAAUUUUCUUUUGGUAUAAAGAUUGAGAUAGAUUUGUACUAUAGUACUUUGGAGUUCUGUUAUAAAUUUUGGAGAUUUUGCUGAACUGCUUCCCUAUUUCUUUAAAAUUCUUCAGGCACUUUUCUUACGUUUGAUACUUUCCAGAUAUUUUUUUACUUCAAUUUCCAUUGACUUCGUUUUGCUUCAGUUUAUGAAAGUUGAAAGUCAGCAUAAAUUGGAGGGUCCAGGUGAGAAAGGCUUGGGCAGUGGGCCUAGUUUUGCUUGUGGAAAACUAUCAAAUGAAUAGAUCAAGGGGAUUAGAUUGAACCACAACUUUUCUAAGUUAUGUAAUGUUUUGUCAUGCCAUUUGUUAUUUGUGUCUUCUUAAAAGUUAUUUAUAAUAGUGCAAAGGCACUAUUAUAUGCUUUGCACCUAAUUAAAAUUAUAUUUUAUAAUGAAAAUGGAAAAUUGUUUUUUCACCCAAGUUUUCCCCUCAAGCUUUAGGCAAGGUUUUCAUGAAUGACUAACAGAACAGAUGCUGCAAACAAGCUCAGAACUUCUGUUUGCUGCCCUAUUAAGAGCAAUGACUCAUUUUGGCAUGAUGUCAAAGCUAUGAAAAGCUAAGAAAGGAAAAUUUAAAACCAAAUAUCAUGAUCCAAGAACCCCAGCAACUGCUCUAGCAUGAACAGAAGUUUGGCCAAAACUAAUUUUGACUGGGAAAUUGGUGAUGGAAAAUUCCAGUCAUAUCUUGGUUGCUUAAAGUCUUCUAAGACAUUCUGGUGGGAAGACAUGAAUGAUUGAGAAAACACCCAUAACAAGGAACUACCCAAAUAAUUGCUGAUGGAUAAGAAAAUGCAACACAUAAAAGUGUUUUUGAAAAUCAAAGACAUAGCUCCUUCUACUGCUCUUCACCCAGAGUUAAAAUGGUAAACAGAUAAAUUUGGGGCAAAAAAAUCUGUUUAAAAUUGCAUGAUGUGAAAGACACACCAAUAGAUUUUCUAGCUUCCCCUUCAGGCUGUUUCUAGGAUUUUUAUAUAUAUAUAUAUAUAUAUAUAUAAAGCUUACAUGCAAAAAAAAACUUAGUCACAAAUCAAUGUCAGAAACUUAGUUUAUCACAAAUGAUGAAUGUUAUUUAUAGUUUGGAAAAGGUAUGCAAAGAUUCGGAGAAAUUGUGCACUACCAGAAACCCAAGAUUCCUACUUGAAUUGGCUGCCUCAUUUUGCCUUCCCUUUUCAGGCUUUGUUUUUUUAAUGAUGAACUCUAAUUAUGAAAUGAGAAGUUCAACUGGACCAGAGGUUGGGGAAGUCAAUUCUGAAGAUUCAACACAGGAAUCAAAACAUGAGGUCGAAGAUAGUGGUGAAGACAGAACUGACAACAAUGUGGCCUGGGCAUCUUGUAGCUCAAACUGAAAGAUUGGCAGAAAAGAUUUUAUAAAAGCAGAUGUGUUCCUUUCACUGGAUUUGCACACACAGUUUAUUUAAUCAUUCUUUACUGAAUACAUCACAGUGGCUGGUACAUUCAGUACCCUAAAUGAAAAUCAGAUCAAUCACAUUAGGGCAGUGGUGGUGACCCUAUAGCACACGUGCCAGAGGCGGCACUCAGAGCCCUCUCUGAGGGCACGCAUGCCAUCACCCCAGCCCCACCUC